rnacentral:rRNA from 1 species
GACGAACGCUGGCGGCGUGCUUAACACAUGCAAGUCGAACGGAAAGGCCCCCACCUUGGUGGGGGUGCUCGAGUGGCGAACGGGUGAGUAACACGUGGGUGAUCUGCCCUGUACUUCGGGAUAAGCCUGGGAAACUGGGUCUAAUACCGGAUAGGACCAUGGUUUAGUGUCUCAUGGUGGAAAAAUUAUUGUUUUGGUGCAGGAUGAGCUCGCGGCCUAUCAGCUUGUUGGUGGGGUAAUGGCCUACCAAGGCGUCGACGGGUAGCCGGCCUGAGAGGGUGGACGGCCACAUUGGGACUGAGAUACGGCCCAGACUCCUACGGGAGGCAGCAGUGGGGAAUAUUGCACAAUGGGCGCAAGCCUGAUGCAGCGACGCCGCGUGGGGGAUGACGGCCUUCGGGUUGUAAACUCCUUUCGUUAGGGACGAAGCCACACCUUUUUUGGGUGUGGUGACGGUACCUUUGUUAAGAAGCACCGGCUAACUACGUG